AGAGUUUGAUCCUGGCUCAGAACGAACGCUGGCGGCGUGCCUAACACAUGCAAGUCGGACGAGAAAGUUCCUUUCGGGGAACGAGUACAGUGGCGCACGGGUGAGUAACACGUUGACAACCUGCCUUCCAGUCCGGGACAACCCCGCGAAAGCGAGGCUAAUACCGGAUAACAAGCCGGGGCGCAUGCCUUGGUUUUGAAAGACUUGUCGCUGGAAGAGGGGUCUGCGGGACAUUAGCUAGUUGGCGGGGUAACGGCCCACCAAGGCCAUGAUGUCUAGCGGGUCUGAGAGGAUGAUCCGCCACACUGGAACUGAGACACGGUCCAGACUCCUACGGGAGGCAGCAGUGGGGAAUUUUGCGCAAUGGGCGAAAGCCUGACGCAGCAACGCCGCGUGGAUGAAGAAGGCCCUCGGGUCGUAAAGUCCUUUUCUGAGGGAAGAGAUCAGACGGUACCUCA
rnacentral:rRNA from 1 species